rnacentral:misc_RNA from 1 species
AUGACGAGACUACCGGAUGAGGAGACGGUGUCCGAGCACUCCGAGCUCGCCUCUGCCACCACUGACCUACAUCGAGCAUCGGUUGCGCGGACGUCAGUUUUCCGUCGCUGCACGUGGCAUCACUGUGCAACUGUUGCUGCCGCCCAGCGGCCGUUUUAUUUUUGCGUGUUGGUAAUCGCCUCGCACACACAUGCGUCGCGUGUUACUAAUUCUCGUAGCGUUACGAUCCCCGGUUACCGUGUGGCGUGUUCGGCAGUCGGCGCUACAACUCCACUCGUCAGUCGUCAGCCUGCUGCGUUAUAACGUCACUGCUUCUCGCGUCGUCCGUGAACAGUUCUUUAUUAUUAUUUUGACAUUUUUUCGACUUAUCAAAUUGCGGCGUGUUAUCAAUUUUCCGCUCGUUCUUUCGCCGUUGAUACGCGACAACAAUAUUCCGAACCGAAGGUGCAGGUGCGACUGACAAGUACGGUCCACGACAAUAUCGGCAAUAUUAUACUUCAGUCAUACAUUACGCAUUUACGCCCUAAUAUCGAUUUCCAGUUGGCUGGGAAACCGACAUAAAAUUUAAGCUAAAUUUCCGAAUCAGCUUUUAAAACAAGUAAAAUGGGAGAAAGACGUGGCACUAAAGCAUUAGAACUAUGGUGUAAGCGAGUGACUCAAGGAUACGAUGGAGUGUCUAUUGAAAAUAUGUCUACUUCAUGGAAAGACGGGCUUGCAUUUUGUGCUCUUAUUCAUCAUUUUAGACCUGAUUUGAUUGAUUAUAAUAGUUUGGACAAAAAUGAUAUUUAUGGUAACAAUGAGUUGGCUUUUCGAGUUGCUGAAAAUCACCUGGGCAUUCCUGCACUUUUAGAUCCCGAAGACAUGGUUUGCGUCGAAAUACCAGAUAGAUUAUCGAUAUUAACUUACCUAUCACAGUUCUACCAAACAUUUUCAUCACAAGCUACGACGCCUGUGAAAACAUCACCUGAAUCGCCGACCACAGUUGAACGGCCAAGAACUAAUACAGGAUCCGGUCAAAAUGCUCCAACAAAGUUGGGCGCAGGCGUUGGCGGUUGUAGAGUGUGCAACCAGUCCGUGUUUCUAGCCCAACGUCUGCUCAUAUCUGGCCACCUGUUCCACCGGACGUGUUUCAAGUGCGCCCGGUGCGCCGCCCUGCUGAGCGUGGCCAACUACUACGAGACGCAGGACGGCAAGUACUGCUGCGAAACGUGCCCGGACGAGGAGCGGACGGUGUCGCCGACCGUGUCGCUGACGACGACGACGACGACGCCGUCGCAACCGCAGCCACCGUCGUCGUCGUCGUCAUCGCUGGUCGGUGACCGCCGGGCGCUGUUCGAAACGCUGGCCGCCGCCGAUUGUACAGACGACGUGAAAGCGUCGAAAAAGGCGCAGCGGCCGGUCACACUCCGAAUGGCCGACCCGUUGACGGCCGCCACCGUCACCGAGAAGGCCGCCAUCACGUGCAGCGACGACAACGACAGCGGAGUAGUGGUGGACAGCGACAAGAAGGAGUCGAGCGACGCGAAAACCUCGGCCAGCGUCACCGGCAGUCGCGAAACCCUGUCCGACGUGGUGGCGGUGGUCGCCGACGAGGAAGGCGGAUCGGUGCUGCCGGACGAGGACCGAGCGACGGACUCGUCUGCCACGACUGCCGCCGUCGUAUCCGACCAACUGCCCGACGUCGUUCCUCCCGUCGUGUCGUCACCUCCUCCACCGUCGUUGCCGGACGAUUCGAAUCCACCCGACGACGAUGUCGCGGACGAAACACCGCAACUCGUCGUUCAGAUACCGCCGCUAUCGGAUGAUGUGAAACAAGUCCUCGAACUUCCUCCGGUUAGUGAUAUCCCCGCCGAAGAGCUGCAGCUAGACUCUCCGGAGGAUUACGAAAUAAAAACCCUAUCCAACAAGCUGCUUAAAAUGGAUUAUUACGAGAGUAAUAAAGAGGUACCGGUUCCUAGUCCUAGAAAACGAAUUAAAUCUCCAAUAAAAAUCAAUUACCCUGAAAGUUUAAAUCCUUUCGACGACGAAGAGGACGAUUGUAACAAAAACAAGAAAGAUAGCACUAAUCCGUUCGGAUCCGAUUUAGAAGACGACGACGACGAACUCUCAGGCAAAAAGAAUGUUAGUUUGAAUCCGUUUUCGAGUGAUGAAGAUGAAAACGAACCUUCUUCUCAGCCCCCAUUGCCCAAACCUAGAAUGGUGUUGUCUCCUAUAUCAAAACCUCGGCACCAAACCCAUCGUAAGCAGAGUAGUGCUUCCAGUAUAUCUUCCUAUUCAAACACUCCACGAAAAAAAAAACCAGCCCCACUACCCCCAGUAUCGAGACUAUCUCUUGGAAACAUUGAAUACUCAAAUAGUUUGCAAGUGUCGUCUCCUAAUAGUUUAGAAGACUCCAGUUGUAGUGGCAGUGAACCGUCCUCGACCAGUAAUCAGGAACGAUACAGAUUACACAAGAGUACACAUGGAAAAUGGAAACGUAAGAAAGGACCAGCCCCUCAGUGUCCAAUACCACAGAGGAGACGAAUUAAACCCAUGCCUAUGGAAGAUAUAAAACAAGAGUUGUUAGAUAUUGAAAUAAAACAGCAAGAGCUUGAGAGACAAGGAGUUAAAUUGGAAAAAGAUAUACGAUUAAAGUGUAACGAAGAUUUGAACAACGUUGAUGUAGAAGAAAUGGUGUUACAACUGUUUGAAUUAGUUAAUGAAAAAAAUGAAUUGUUCCGAAAACACGCCGAACUUAUGUACCUGCGAAAACAACAUAAUUUUGAAGAAGAACACGCUGAGUUAGAAUAUCAAAUUCGUGUAUUAAUGUCUAAGCCUGACCACACUAAAACAGAUACAGAAAAAGCGCGAGAAGAAGAACUUAUCCGAAGAUUGGUUGAAGUUGUAGAAAGGCGUAAUGAAAUUGUUGAAAAUCUAGAAAAAGAUAGAUUGCGUGAAGCUGAAGAAGAUCGUAGUGUGUUCAAUCAAAUUGGAACUUUUGCUCAAGGUUCAAAAAAUAUCCAUCGUAUAGUUUACUAGUAUAAAAAUAUGUUUGACAUCAUUAGUGGUUUGCGGAAUGACGUUUUGUUCGUUUUUUAAGAUGAAACGUUGCCAUGUAUCAAACCAGUAAAUACCACAGUUAUGGAUAGCAAAAAGAACUUUUCCAAAAGACUGUUGAAGAAUAUCAAAAAGGUAAAAUCAAAAAAAGACAAACCGGAUGUUGCGUCGCCGUCCCAAUCGCCGUCAAAUUCCUCACAUAGCAAAGGCACUCUAAAAAAGUUUAUGACACUAGGCCACUCGUCUAAAAAAUUUUUGAGGCCCAAGUCCAGUUAGAACCAACAGUGUGUUUAAAUUGAGAACUGAUGUAAUCAUAAUAAUAACUUUUAAGAUUGUUAAUUUUACUGGACAGUUAACAUUUGAAUUGAUUAAAUGUUAUGUAAACUAGCAACAAUUUGUUAAUUUUAUUUUAUUAAAUAUUUUUGUUGCAAUUUAAAGAGCCAUGUAGUUGUUAUCAAUUGUAUUAUUUGUGGCAUUGCUUAAAUAAUUAAACAUAUCACAUACACAAAUACACAAAUCAUAUGAAUUGCUAGAUUUACAUGUGUAUAAUAUUUAUGUAAUUAUCAAUUUUGUACUUAAGUAUUACUUAACAUUGAACAAGUUAAAUUAUUAUACCAAUUAUAUUUAAUAACCCAUUUACAUGACAUGUAAACCUAGAAUAUGAACCUAUUUAUAUUUAUUGUUUAAUCAUGUUUAAUUAUGUUUAUAUUUAUGUUUGUAAUUAAACUUAAGUGGAAAAAAAUUAUACUCCACUAUAAAAAUCUACA